UUGAUUUUGAUUGGUUUAUCCAAUCUGAGAGCUGUUUACCGCUCUCUGAGCGAAAGCGUCGGUUGUGCGCUCUGUACUAGCUCAGGGAAGUCUUGGCAAGUGAUCAGCGACACAAAGAGUGGGUGAAUAUACACUAAACAGUAAUGGCAGCUACAAAGCCUAAGAAGGCAGGGGCAGAGGCAGCACCUAAGAAACCUGCAAAGAAGCCAACGAAGAAGAAGCCCGCAAAGAAGGCCGGUGGCAAGAAAAAGACCAAGAGGGCAGGAGCUAAGAAGGCCAAGAAGUAACUUAUUCCACUGCAAGCAAUAAUCAUCUUCAUGAUUUGGUGGGCUACAUGGACAUUUCCUCCACGGGGGAGUUGUCUCCCCUAAAGGGGGCGUGGCCCACUGGCACCUCUCCACAGUUUAUUAGCCUAGAUGACAUUAGACUUUUAUUGUUACAGCUGAGUGGUUUUAAAGGAUGUUCAACAUCACUUGUUUCAUUGUCUUUGGUCUCGACUCAUGUCGUCGUCUAUUCUACCAGUUCCGAGAUUUUACAGACUGUAGCAUAUUUAUAAUUCUACAUCUCAUAGACUCACUCUCAUGUGUACAAUAAACAUUAAAAACAACCAUCAAA